GACGAACGCUGGCGGCGUGCCUAAUACAUGCAAGUAGAACGCUGAAGAGAGGAGCUUGCUCUUCUUGGAUGAGUUGCGAACGGGUGAGUAACGCGUAGGUAACCUGCCUUGUAGCGGGGGAUAACUAUUGGAAACGAUAGCUAAUACCGCAUAACAAUGGAUGACACAUGUCAUUUAUUUGAAAGGGGCAAUUGCUCCACUACAAGAUGGACCUGCGUUGUAUUAGCUAGUAGGUGAGGUAACGGCUCACCUAGGCGACGAUACAUAGCCGACCUGAGAGGGUGAUCUGCCACACUGGGACUGAGACACGGCCCAGACUCCUACGGGAGGCAGCAGUAGGGAAUCUUCGGCAAUGGGGGCAACCCUGACCGAGCAACGCCGCGUGAGUGAAGAAGGUUUUCGGAUCGUAAAGCUCUGUUGUAAGUCAAGAACGAGUGCGAGAGUGGAAAGUUCACACUGCGACGGUAGCUUAACAGAAAGGGACGGCUAACUACGUG
rnacentral:rRNA from 1 species